AACGAAUCUUCCGCAAUGCACGCAAGUGUGACGGAGCGACGCCGCGUGGAGGUUAAGUCCUUCGGGAUGUAAACUCCUGUCAGGGGUUACCAAGUUCUGAGGAGCCCCAGAGGAAGGCACGGCUAACUCUGUGCCAGCAGCCGCGGUAAUACAGAGGUGCCGAGCGUUAGGCGGAAUCACUGGGCUUAAAGCGCGCGUAGGCGGACGUUUAAGUGUCUUGUGAAAUCCCACGGCUCAACCGUGGAACUGCUGGGCAUACUGGACGUCUCGAGGCACUCAGGGGCGAGCGGAACAAGUGGUGGAGCGGUGAAAUGCGUAGAUAUCACUUGGAACGCCAAUGGUGAAGACAGCUCGCUGGGGGUGUCCUGACGCUGAGGCGCGAAAGCCAGGGGAGCGAAC
rnacentral:rRNA from 1 species